rnacentral:rRNA from 1 species
ACGCUCGACACCUACGGGGGGCAGCAGUGGGGAAUAUUGCACAAUGGGGGAAACCCUGAUGCAGCGAUGCCGCGUGAAGGAAGAAGUAUCUCGGUAUGUAAACUUCUAUCAGCAGGGAAGAAAAUGACGGUACCUGACUAAGAAGCCCCGGCUAACUACGUGCCGGCAGCCGCGGUAAUCUGAGCGGGCUGGCAAGGC